rnacentral:rRNA from 1 species
UUACAUUGAAGCCUAGCGAUAUGUAAGUUAGUGGCGGACGGGUGAGUAACGCGUGGGUAACCUGCCUUGUACUGGGGGACAACAGUUGGAAACGACUGCUAAUACCGCAUAAGCGCACAGGAUCGCAUGGUCCGGUGUGAAAAACUCCGGUGGUAUGAGAUGGAUCCGCGUCUGAUUAGCCAGUUGGUAGGGUAACGGCCUACCAAAGCGACGAUCAGUAGCCGACCUGAGAGGUUGAACGGCCACAUUGGGACUGAGACACGGCCCAGACUCC